AACUGAAGUAGCAGCUCAGAGACCUCACACCAAAACAUAUGUUGGACAUUAGCAACAUUCAAAUGUAACAACCGGGAGAGUUAACUUUGUUAACUUGUUUAAUUAUAUCAGCUGCCGCGUUUUUGUAAGGCUAAUUAGUUAACAGCGAUUGAGAAAAAGAGAUGGGAAGCGCUCUCAACAACGAAACACAGUUUAUCAGAGCAGCCAGUGCGGUGGGACAUGACUAUUACCCGGAUAUUGACGGCUUCACCUCCAUGACGCAGGCUACAGGAGAAUGGGCUUCGGCGUCAAGUAAUCAUGUUGAGGAGCAGCGAUCUGAACUUGGUUCCCUCCACCAUGAACAGCGCCAUCUUGUCGCAGAGCUUGGCAGCGGUGGCGGCAAAGCUCCUGUCUGACACUGCCUUGGAGUAGAUUGUGCUGACCACCUGAGCCAGGGUUUCCUCGGACCGCGCAGAACACUGAGCCUCCUCCAUGAAAGAGGCCAGCUGCUGCUCCACGCCGCUGCUGUUGCUCCUCAUGCUGUUGAGAAGGUCCACCAGCCGGUCCAUGCUCUGCGAUCCGGAGCCCGACGCCUCUACACGCGCCUCUUCCUGAGGCAGGAGAUGGGAUAAGACAUGAAUGACUUCAAUUGCUUGCCUCGAGAACGGUCUGACAGGGAGAAAAAGUGGGUGGAGAAAGAAGAAAGAAACGGAGCAACUGUUGCAUGUUUAGCUACUGUAGUUCUCCUCUAGGAUAUCAUUAGCUGUAAUUCUGCCUUCAAAUGGUAACCAGAUGACAGAGCAAACACACAUAAACAAAAGGUUCAAAGGACACACACUACACAUUUUUAGCAAAACCCUUCAGCUUGUAGUAUUUUUCCAUUACUAUUUCAGAUUGCAUUAAAGCAUCUCAUUUUUUUUUUUGGUGUAAAUAAAAAAUGUCUAAAAUGUGCAAAUCUACAUCCUGAAAAGAAAAGCAUAUUUUGGACAGCAGUGCAUAAAAGAAAAGCCCUAGACCCACACAGUGUAUAAUGUAUCCGAUAGAAACGGAGAGGGAGGAAGCAGGAGCUGUAGUGUUAUCUCUGGUUGAAAGGGAGAGCUCUGUUUGUGUGUGUGUGAAUAUUCUGUGUGUAGGUAGCAGCCAGUGCGCGGUAGAUCAAAGAGAGGCGUGUGCUGUCCUGGUCCCCAGCCAAAGGACCUCUCAACUCGUGGCAGGCAGCGCGAGUGCUGUGGACGUGACAAGGAUGGCGAAGGAGAGCCGGACAGCAUCUCUCGUGCAUGGCAGCUAAGAGGGCUGCCCUCCUCCGGGGGCCUUGUACAAGACAUAAACGCUGAGUCAAGUGAUCGCAAAACUGACAACCACAGCCUAUAAGGUUUCAAAAAAACCUGUAACCAUUUAUAGU